rnacentral:rRNA from 1 species
AUUGAACGCUGGCGGCAGGCCUAACACAUGCAAGUCGAACGAGUGGCGGACGGGUGAGUAAUGUCUGGGAAACUGCCUGAUGGAGGGGGAUAACUACUGGAAACGGUAGCUAAUACCGCAUACCAUCAGAUGUGCCCAGAUGGGAUUAGCUUGUUGGUGGGGUAAAGGCUCACCAAGGCGACGAUCCCUAGCUGGUCUGAGAGGAUGACCCGCCACAACGGGAAUGAGACACGGUCCAGACUCCUACGGGAGGCCGCAGUGGGGAAUAUUUCACAAUGGGCGGGAGCCUUAUGCCGCCAUGCCGGGUGUAUUAAGAAGGCCUUCGGGUUGUAAAGUACCUUCAGCGGGGAGGCGGUACCCGCAGAAGAAGCCCCGGCUAACUUCGUGCCAGCCGCCGCGGUAAUUC